rnacentral:rRNA from 1 species
AACGAACGCUGGCGGCAUGCCUAACACAUGCAAGUCGAACGAGACCUUCGGGUCUGGUUGCGCACGGGUGCGUAACGCGGGGGAACCUGCCCUUAGGCUCGGAAUAACUCCCCGAAAGGGGUGCUAAUACCGGAUAACGUACUCGGACCCAAGAUUUAUCGCCUUUGGGUGGGCCCGCGUUGGUUUAGCUUGUUGGUAGGGUAAAAGCCUACCAAGGCGACGAUCCAUAGCUGGUCUGAGAGGAUGAUCAGCCACACUGGGAGUGAGACGCGGCCCAGACUACUACGGGAGGCAGCAGUGGGGAAUAUUGGAAAAUGGGCGGAGGGCUGAUCCAGCAAUGCCGCGUGAGUGAUGAAGGCCUUAGGGUUGUGAAGCUGUUUUACCCGGGAUGAUAAUGACAGUACCGGGAGAAUAAGCUCCGGCUAACUCCGUG